rnacentral:rRNA from 1 species
GACGAACGCUGGCGGCGUGCUUAACACAUGCAAGUCGAACGGAAAGUCCCUGCUUUUGUGGGGUACUCGAGUGGCGAACGGGUGAGUAACACGUGAGUAACCUGCCCUUGACUUUGGGAUAACUUCAGGAAACUUGGUCUAAUACCGGAUAGGAGCUCCUGCUGCAUGGUGGGGGUUGGAAAGUUUCGGCGGUUGGGGAUGGACUCGCGUCUUAUCAGCUUGUUGGUGGGGUAGUGGCUUACCAAGGCUUUGACGGGUAGCCGGCCUGAGAGGGUGACCGGCCAAAUUGGGACUGAGAUACGGCCCAGACUCCUACGGGAGGUAGCAGUGGGGAAUAGUGCACAAUGGGCGGAAGCCUGAUGCAGCAACGCCGCGUGCGGGAUGACGGCCUUCGGGUUGUAAACCGCUUUCGCCUGUGACGAAGCGUGAGUGACGGUAAUGGGUAAAGAAGCACCGGCUAACUACGUG